GUGGGCAUAGCUCAGCCGGUUAGAGCACCAGGUUGUGGCCCUGGGGGUCGUGGGUUCGAAUCCCAUUGCCCACC
rnacentral:tRNA from 1 species